UACUUUAACAUUUUUGUUCUUCAUUCACUUGCUCUAUUGCUUUAGGUUUUGUUGUUCAUUUUCUUUUAGUUGUAUAAUUGACAUGUGUAUGUACUCCUAGGAUUUGGGCAAUUCCACACUUGGGGCCUUGAUUCUAAUGGAGAAAGCAACUCAAUCAGGAAAAGACGAAAGCAAAGUACAUUUUCUUUAGAACCAAUGGAACCUGUUUGUUCAUUAAUACUGGAGGGGGGAGCCAGUAAUGCGACAUGAUGCCAGCCCAAGAAAGCACCAACUCAGCAUGAGCAGCAUGAGGAACUGGGCUCUCAUACAGGUAUUAUAUCUAUCAUCCAUCGGUAUACGUAGUAUGCAUAUUAUAUUUUAAUAGUGAUAUUAGAAGAAAAAUUAUCUGAUACUGUCCUUACACAUCAUAAUUUUGAGAGGUGGUGUAAUCAUUCAUUUCCAAAUCCCAACUAGGUGAACUUAGCUCUCACAACUUAAAACAAUAAAUAAAAAGGAAAAUUAUUCAGAUUUCAAGAUAAUUAAGUGAAAUCUUUGCUAUUAGAUAAAUAUUUUUCAUCCACCUCUUUUACUAUAUUUUAUAUCAUCCACUUACAUGGCAAGGAUGACAACGGGGCAGGUUUUCUUCUGAUACGUAACCAAUCUGCUGUUAGAUAGAAGAGUCAUAAACAAGUUAAGGACAAGUUCAAAAUUUUUUAUUUAUUGGGAAACCAAACUUGGGGAACCUGCAACUAUAUGAAGUCAGUAACAUGUAUCCAUGAUGGUUAAGGGUAAAGUUGGAGGGCUUCUUCUAAUGUGCCAUUGUUGCAUUCCUGUGAAUACAGUCUGUUCGUGCUAUCUUAUGCAAGUUGUCAACAGAGAGAGCAUGGGCAUAGGUGACAUAUAGAAGGGGUUGCCAUGCAUCUGAUGCUAGAAAACGAGUGAAAGGGAGAUAGAAAACACCAUGGGAGUGCAGAGGAGAGCAGCAGAAGAAGAAUGGAAAGUGAAGUCAAUUCCUAAUGCCAAGACAAAUGCUAGCAAGCUAGCAACAACGACCUUGGUGGUUAUGGAGUGGGCUUGAAAUGCAGAGUUUGGCUUAUUCUGAAACGCUCCAAAUCAAUGAGGUAGAGAAGCAGGGGGAGAAUAAAGGUUAGAAGGGCGAGAAUAAGGUUAUGUGAAGUAGAAAUGUGAUAGCGUAGAGAAUAUACAUGGUUGUGUAAUAAGAAGGGACAAGCUGAUGCGAACAGCUGGUAAAUGACACCGUGAGGAGAACCAUGUUAGUGAUGUGGUGCGUUUCAUGCAAACCAGAAAAGUGAUGCGGUGCGUUUUAUGCGAAAGGAAUGGAUAGGCACGCCAGCUAGCACUUAUUUCAUUUCUUUCUGUCAUUUCCUUAUCUUUUCCUUUCUUCAUUUCUGUUAUUCCUGUGAGAAGCGGCAUAGCGAUAUUCUCGGGAGUUUGUUAGAGAAGUUGUUACAAUUUGUUAUAGAGAGAGUAUAUGAGUGUGAGAGAGAUGAAGGGUCAGGGAUGUUGUGGGAAUUGUGUGAAUUGCUCAUCUCCUCUCUACUCUGUUAUCUUUCAUAUUGUCAUCAAUAAGAUUGCCUAUUCUCUCUCCAUCCGCCUCUCUUCUUCUUCUUAUGUCGUAUUUCAUUUAAGUUUGCAUCAGUUGGUAUCAGAGCCGACGUUUCUUCGCCUGUGGAAGGAACGAUGGCAGAAGCAACUCGUUCACAGGAAGUCAGACGCGAAAUGCUUGAGAUGAUGAAAGAGUUCGAAAGGAAACAAGAGUUGUGGCGUCGCGAAUCAGAAGAAAAAGCUGUCAAAUCUUUUGCUGAUCUCAAAAGUUUGAUCGGAGGCUUGAGCCUUCAGAACCAGGAGGUGAUGACCAAUAGGGGAGAAGAACGUAGGUGGGAGAAUCAACUCGGUCAUUCGACCAAGGUGGACUUUCCAAAGUUUAAUGGAUGUGGAUUAGAUGGUUGGUUACUUCGGGUGGAGUAUUUCUUCGAAGUCGAUCGGACUCCUCCGGAAGCUAGAGUGCGCCUGGCAGCUCUUCACUUAGAGGGAAAAGCGAUCCAGUGGCAUCAGGGUUAUAUUAAGACUAGAGGUAAUGAAGCCUACCUUGAUUGGUCUGAAUAUGUCAUUGCUUUGAAUGCUAGAUUUGGGCAACAUGUUUUUGAUGAUCCGAUUGCGAAUCUGCGCAAUUUAAGGCAAACAGGUUCACUGCAGAGCUAUAUGGAUGAAUUUGAUGAAUUGUAUCCUAGAGCUGAUAUCAAAGAAUCCCAUGCCUUAAGUUUUUUCUUGUCUGGUUUGAUUGAUGAACUCCAGAUGCCCGUUCGAAUGUUCAAACCACAAACACUUGCUGAUGCUUACUCUCUGGCCAGAUUACAAGAAAUAGCAGUAGCCGCUUUGCAGAACAAACCAAAACCAGUCUCCAAAGGACCUAGCCCAUACUCACCCACCACUAACCAUUACCACAAAGCCACGCCAAUCACCUCUAUUUCCCAAUAUGCUACCAACCUCAGUAACACCACUUUCCCGAAAACUACAAAUGCCGGACUGCUACCCUUACCACCAUCAACCAAUAUACCUAAAACCAAUCCUGGAAUCACCACUAGAAACCAUCGAAAUUUCUCUAACAGAGACCUAGACGAGCGUCGGGCUAAGGGUUUAUGUUUCUGGUGUGAUGAGAAAUUUACUCCUGGCCAUAAAUGCAAAAGGAAACAACUGUAUGUUAUGCAGAUUCAGGUGGAGACAGAUGGUGAGGGGCCUGAAGGGAAUUUACAAAUGGAAGGCUUGGGUAAGGAGGAUGAACAGAUUCAGCUAUCUCUUAAUGCUCUUAUGAGCAAUGAAGACUCACAAACUAUGACCUUGAAUGGAAAUUACAAGGGGCGCUCCUUAUUUGUGCUAAUAGACUCAGGAAGCUCUCAUAAUUUCCUGAGUUCUAAGGUGGCAAAAAGGGUUGACUGUUGUUGGCAGAAGGCUAGAGGGAUAAGGGUGACCGUAGCAAAUGGGCAAGAACUUCACUGUACAGCUCUAUGUUCAGACUUCAGGUGGAGAAUGCAAGGCCAAGAAUUUAUUGCGGAGGUUUAUGUUCUGCCUCUGGAGACUUAUGAUCUUAUCUUGGGAACUCAAUGGCUUGCCACUCUGGGAGAUAUCUCGUGGAACUUUAAUACAUUGUAGAUGGGUUUUGAAUUAAAUGGCAAACCAUAUCUCUUGCAGGGCAAAAAUAAGCUUCAGGAGAGGAUGUCACCUUGGGCAGAUAAGCUAAAAGGCGUGGUAGAACAGCCUGGCUUGUUUGCAAUACAGGACCUUUCAGAUGCCACUCUCUGGGCUAUUCAGGUGGCUGAAAACACUCAUUUAGAGGAAACUCUCACCCCGCAACAGUAGGAGGAGUUGCAAAAAAUGUUGCAGGCUUUUGCGGACGUCUUUGAAGAGCCCACAGGAUUGCCCCCGGUCCGGGAUUAUGAUCACCAGAUUGAUUUAAAGGAUGAAGCGGGACCAAUUAAUUGCAGACCUUACAGGUAUGCUGCAGUGUAGAAAGAUGCUAUUGAGAAACUGAUUGGUGAAAUGUUACAUGCAGGAGUAAUUAGACAAAGUAGGAGCCCUUACGCAAGUCCGGUGGUUCUAGUAAAAAAGAAGGAUGGAUCGUGGAGAUUAUGUGUUGAUUACAGAGCUUUGAACCAAGUUACUGUCAAGGACAAAUUUCCAAUACCUGUUAUGGAAGAACUUCUUGAAGAAUUGGGAGGUUCAACAAUUUUCUCCAAAAUUGACCUACGCUCUGGCUAUUGGCAAAUCAGAAUGCAUGAACCUGAUGUGCCAAAAACUGCCUUUAAGACACAUGAGGGCCACUACGAAUUUUUGGUGAUGCCUUUUGGCCUCACGAAUGCUCCAUCCACCUUCCAGAGCCUUAUGAACAAUAUCUUCCAACCCUAUCUUCGGAAGUUCAUUCUAGUGUUUUUUGAUGACAUUUUAAUAUACAGCAGAAGCUUCUUUGACCACAUACAUCAUUUGAGUAUUGCCUUGCAGGUCUUACGGGAGAAUUUGCUUUAUGCCAAGAGCAACAAAUGUUUCUUUGGCCACUCUAGUGUUGAGUAUCUGGGCCAUGUGAUUUCCAGCGGGGGAGUUUAUACUGAUCCUCAAAAAGUUGCUGCUGUUAGAGACUAGCCAACUCCCAUUACACUUAAGCAACUUCGUGGCUUUCUCGGCCUCACGGGGUACUAUAGGCGGUUUGUAAAGGAUUAUGGAAAAAUUGCAAAGCCACUGACAGAUCUGCUUAAAAAGGACGCUUUUCACUGGACAGAGGGAAGUAAUCAAGCUUUCAUGGCUUUGAAACAGGCGAUGAUAACCGCACCAGUGCUUGCCCUGCCAAAUUUUUCAAAGGAGUUCAUAAUAGAAACAGAUGCUUCUGGUCAGGGUAUUGGAGUAGUCCUAAUGCAAGAAGGACAUCCCAUUGCAUACAUCAGCAAGGCCUUAUCUGACAGGUUUCAAACCUUAUCCACUUAUGAAAAAGAGAUGUUGGCUAUUCUUAUGGCCAUCAAAAAGUGGGAGUCAUAUCUGGUAGAUCGCCAUUUUGUAAUCAAAACAGACCACCAGAGUCUGAAAUAUCUUCUUGAACAGCGAGUAACUACACCUACUCAGCAAGCUUGGGUUGCCAAGCUUAUGCAAUACGAUUACGAAAUUCGCUAUAAGCAAGGAAAAGAGAAUGUUGCUGCGGAUGCUUUGUCUAGAAUCCAACCAGCAGAGUUGUUUGUUCUAUCUACAACAAUUUUAAACACUCAGUUGUAUGACUUGAUCAAAGAAUCUUGGGGUGCAGAUCCUGAAUUACAGAAGAUCAUUAAGGCUAAGGAAGCAGACCCCUCUGCUUAUCCUAAAUAUUCUUGGCGAGGAGAGGAACUUCGGAGAAAGGGGAAAUUGGUAGUUGGAGUCAAUGAACAACUGUGACGAGAGAUCUUAAACGGCUUUCAUGAUUCGCCAACUGGAGGCCAUUCUGGCGUGUAUGUGACUACAAAGCGAAUAUCUGCAGUAGUUUAUUGGAAGGGUUUGAGGAAGUUUGUCCGAGAAUAUGUGAGAAAUUGCUCUGUAUGUCAGCGCUUCAAACCAGAAAAUAAACCUUAUUCUGGCUUACUGCAACCAUUGCCUGUUCCAGAGGGAGUCUUCACAGACAUCACAAUGGACUUCAUCGAAGGCCUCCCCAAAUCUAAUGGUAAAACGACAAUUUUUGUUGUUGUGGAUAGGCUUACCAAGUAUGGUCACUUUAUGCUGCUACCACACCCAUAUACAGCCAAGAUGGUUGCCCAAGUGUUCCUUGACAGUGUAUAUAAACUUCAUGGUCUUCCUCACUCCAUCACAUGUGACAGAGACCCUAUUUUCACCAAUGUUUUUUGGCAGGAAUUUUUCAAAUUACAGGGCGUCUCAUUGCAGCUAUCUACUGCGUACCACCCUCAAACGGACGGUCAGACAGAAGUGGUGAAUAGGUGUAUUGAAACCUAUCUUCGGUGCAUGGCAGGCGAUAACCCAGGCCAAUGGGCAAACUGGAUCUCAUUAGCAGAGUUUUGGUAUAAUACUUCAUACCAUUCCUCUUUAAAGAUGUCACCGUUUGAAGCUUUGUAUGGUUAUGCCCCUCCGCUACAAAUUCCCUAUUUUCCAAAGGACUCAAAUGUUGAAGCUGUUGAUAGAGUGUUAAAUGAAAGAGAGAGUUGGCUGCAACUGCUUAAACACCAUCUCUCCAAGGCACAGCAGAGGAUGAAAAUUCAAGCCGAUAAGAACAGGUUUGACAGAGAAUUCAACAUUGGAGAUAUGGUGUUACUAAAACUCCAGGCUUAUAAGCAAGUCAGUAUGUAUUCAGGAGGUCCCAAACUCCAACCCCGCUAUUAUGGCCCGUUUAAGGUGAUAGACAGAAUUGGAACAGUGGCUUAUCAGCUCCAGUUGCCUCCUGAUGCUCAAAUACACAACGUAUUCCAUGUGUCCCUUCUCAAGCCAGCUCAUGCAUCAAUUCAUGCUUGCUCAUCUUUACCUAUCUCUAAUGCCAGGACCACCUUGCUCCCAGAAGCUAUUCUGGACCGUCGUUUAGUCAAAAGACACAAUGUCCCAGCUGUUCAAUUACUGAUACAUUAGGUUGAUAAAUCACCAGCUGAUGCGUCUUGGGAAUUUGCAGAUGAUCUGAAGAGGAGGUUUCCUGCUUUCUUCCUUGAGGACAAGGAAGUUUCUUAGAAGGGAGUAUUGAUGCGAACAGCUGGUAAACGACACCGUGAGGAGAACCAUGUUAGUGAUGCGGUGCGUUUCAUGCAAACCAGAAAAGUGAUGCGGUGCGUUUUAUGCGAAAUGAAUGGAUAGGCACGCCAGCUAGCACUUAUUUCAUUUCUUUCUGUCAUUUCCUUAUCUUUUCCUUUCUUCAUUUCUGUUAUUCCUGUGAGAAGCAGUAUAGCGAUAUUCUCGGGAGUUUGUUAGAGAAGUUGUUACAAUUUGUUAUAGAGAGAGUAUAUGAGUGUGAGAGAGAUGAAGGGUCAGGGAUGUUGUGGGAAUUGUGUGAAUUGCUCAUCUCCUCUCUGCUCUGUUAUCUUUCAUAUUGUCAUCAACAAGAUUGCCUAUUCUCUCUCCAUCCGCCUCUCUUCUUCUUCUUAUGUCGCAUUUCAUUUAAGUUUGCAUCACAAGCAAUGGACAAUGAGGCAACUGAAUUUCAUGGAGUGUUAAUGUAUACUCAUCAUACCCUUAUUUGUGCUGUUAACACACUUUCACUUUCUCUUUUAAAAGUCUAUAUUCGGUUAAACACUACUAACCAUUGGGCUUGCCCAAAAGUAACAAAAUAGGUUAAGACUACUAACCCUAUAUUUAUUAUUUAGGAUUUUUGGAAAAUUUGAAGGAAAACAAGAAGGGAAAUGGAAAGGAAAAAUAUGAAGGAAAAUAAAUUUAAAGUUAGUAUAUUUUUUUUACAUAUUUUUAAAUGUUAUAUAAAUUAUUUUUUUUCUUUAAUAGUUUUCCUAAAACCAUGCUUAUUUUUUCUUUUAAUUAAAUAACUUAAUUGACAUUUGGA
rnacentral:lncRNA from 1 species